rnacentral:rRNA from 1 species
GACGUAGGUGGCGAACGUUAUCCGGAAUUAUUGGGCGUAAAGGGUGCGUAGGCGGCAUGAUAAGUUAUUGGCGGCAAAUCGAGGCUCAACCUCGUGGAAACUGAUAAUACUGUCUUGCUUGAGUGCAGAAGAGGUUAACGGAACUCCAUGUGGAGCGGUAAAAUGUGUAGAUAUAUGGAAGAACAUCAAUAACGGCGAAGGCAGUUAACUAUUCUGUUACUGACGUUGAGGCACGAAAGCGCGGGGAGCAAACAGG